CUGGCUCAGAACGAACGCUGGCGGCGCGUCUUAAGCAUGCAAGUCGAACGGCAAGAGGUAGCAAUACCUCCUAGAGUGGCGGACUGGUGAGUAACACGUGGGUGACAUACCCUUCAGAUGGGGAUAGCUAUUAGAAAUAGUAGAUAAUACCGAAUACGAGCACAGGGGUUAGAGAUCUGUGAGGAAAGGAGCUAAGGCUCCGCUGAAGGAAUGGCCUGCGGCCCAUUAGCUAGUUGGUGAGGUAAGAGCCCACCAAGGCGAUGAUGGGUAUCCGGCCUUAGAGGGUGAACGGACACAUUGGGACUGAGAUACGGCCCAGACUCCUACGGGAGGCAGCAGCUAAGAAUAUUCCGCAAUGGACGAAAGUCUGACGGAGCGACGCCGCGUGGAUGAAGAAGGCCGGAAGGUUGUAAAAUCCUUUUGAAACUGAAGAAUAAGCGUUGUAGGGAAUGACAGCGUGGUGACAGUAGGUUUUGAAUAAGCAACGGCUAAUUACGUGCCAGCAGCUGC
rnacentral:rRNA from 1 species